UCCGUAGGUGAACCUGCGGAGGGAUCAUUACUGAGUUUACGCUCUAUAACCCUUUGUGAACAUACCUAUAACUGUUGCUUCGGCGGGUAGGGUCUCCGCGACCCUCCCGGCCUCCCGCCUCCGGGCGGGUCGGCGCCCGCCGGAGGAUAACCAAACUCUGAUUUAACGACGUUUCUUCUGAGUGGUACAAGCAAAUAAUCAAAACUUUUAACAACGGAUCUCUUGGUUCUGGCAUCGAUGAAGAACGCAGCGAAAUGCGAUAAGUAAUGUGAAUUGCAGAAUUCAGUGAAUCAUCGAAUCUUUGAACGCACAUUGCGCCCGCCAGCAUUCUGGCGGGCAUGCCUGUUCGAGCGUCAUUUCAACCCUCAAGCUCUGCUUGGUGUUGGGGCCCUACAGCUGAUGUAGGCCCUCAAAGGUAGUGGCGGACCCUCCCGGAGCCUCCUUUGCGUAGUAACUUUACGUCUCGCACUGGGAUCCGGAGGGACUCUUGCCGUAAAACCCCCCAAUUUUCCAAAGGUUGACCUCGGAUCAGGUAGGAAUACCCGCUGAACUUAAGCAUAUCA
rnacentral:rRNA from 1 species